rnacentral:rRNA from 1 species
GACGAACGCUGGCGGCGUGCUUAACACAUGCAAGUCGAACGGAAAGGCCCUGCUUUUGUGGGGUGCUCGAUUGGCGAACGGGUGAGUAACACGUGAGUAACCUGCCCUUGACUUUGGGAUAACUUCAGGAAACUGGGGCUAAUACCGGAUAGGAGCUCCUGCUGCAUGGUGGGGGUUGGAAAGUUUCGGCGGUUGGGGAUGGACUCGCAGCUUAUCAGCUUGUUGGUGGGGUAGUGGCUUACCAAGGCUUUGACGGGUAGCCGGCCUGAGAGGGUGACCGGCGACAUAGGGACUGAGAUGCGGCCCAGAAUCCUACGGGAGGCAGCAGUGGGGAAUAUUGCACAAUGGGCGGAAGCCUGAUGCAGCAACGCCGCGUGCGGGAUGACGGCCUUCGGGUUGUAAACCGCUUUCGCCUGUGACGAAGCGUGAGUGACGGUAAUGGGUAAAGAAGCACCGGCUAACUACGUG